rnacentral:ncRNA from 1 species
AUGAAUUUGGCAAAGUCAGUGAAAGCUGAUGACGCAAAGCUAUGAGUCUACGGCAAAUAAUGCUACGAUUGUCAAGCUGCA